CUGGUACAGUGGGAACCAGAGAGGAUGGAGCCCGCAGCCACCUGGAGCCAGCGAGCAUGGCGAGGACUGCUGGGGUCACAGGAAGGAACAGUGGCACCCUCCUAUACUUGUCCCCUGGUCACCUAAGAGGCCUCUCCAUUUAAGGCCAGGAUCGGUGGCACACAUCUGUAAUCUCAGCAGGCAGGAGGAUCAGGAGUUCAAGGCCUUCCAUUCAAUCCCUCAAGCAUCUUCUAGUUCCCUGGCCAGGGACUGUGAGUGAUGCAGCUCAGGACAGCGACCCCAAAACAGGACAAGACCUGUAAGCCAACUGAUGAGAAAAGGUGGGGAGUACAAGCUGUUGCUUCCUCUCAAAACAAAACCAAUAGAGGCCAGGGCACUGGGAUCAAAGGUCUUACCUGUCCCAAGAGGACCAGUGGCUGUCACAGGCUGCGGCCAGCACGGCCUCCACCAAGGGAAAAGGACCCCUGUGUGUGUACGGAACUCAAGAACCCGGCACUUCUUUUCCCCAUAAACUCUCAGAAAAUGCCCAAAAAUGAAAAUGACCGAGCUCCCCGACCAUCAUGUUCUGCCAAAGUCCACCGCCAGUCCUCACCCGACUCUGCGGCACCCAGGGACACGCCAUCCCUCUAUCUGACCCCCUGCCUCUACCUUCCCAGUGCUGGGAUUAAGGAGUGGGCUACCACACCUGGUUUAUGUGGAGUGUCGAACUGCAAUCAGGACUUUGUGCCAGACAAGUGCUCUACCAACGAAGCUACAACCCCAGCCUUUCAGUGGUUGUUCAGAGAAGCCAAGUUGGUUCCUGCUUAUCCUGAGAGGUCCCCCUGGCCCAUGCCCACCCCUACCUCAGAGGCAGGAACCCUAAAGCAGCAUGCAAUCCCACAAUAUGGCCAGUUGUCCUGAGUCUAAUAGCACUGCCUUCCCUAACGACUGUAUAAAGCACUCACUGAAACCCUAGAGGUGGGGAAUCUGUCCGGCAUGCGCUGUAAUGCGACGUCCGGCCUGCAGCCAGUAAUGGAUGCUCUGAGGAUGGCAGCGACUGUUUCAGAGAAAGAAGCUAUCUUACUUCCAGUAACAGAAUGCCAGGGAGCUAUCAGAGUCCAGAAAAAUGCAGUGCUGGGGCUGCCUGGGGAACACACAUGGCAGAGCCCAGGGUAUGUGCUAGACCAGAACAGAGGGCUGGAAGAAGGAAAGAGCUGCAAACUGUCUGCCCGGAUUAUCCUGACGCACAGGUUGGACUGACCUGACCCAUCUCGUGCUUUGCUUUCAUGCAUGCACAACCUCAAAAGGGUGACUCAUCCAAACAGCCAAUGCUGGCCCAAGAGGUGCUGAUGGAUCCCCAAGCCUGAUACCCACACGGUUCUGCCUCCUUGAUCUCAGAUCUGAGGACCUCACAGAGAAGGGCAGACUUACCGAGAACCAAGAUGAGAUACCACCAUGCUACGUUUCCCUUCCCCUUUCUCUAAACAAAGUUCAUUUCUAAAUUGUGUGUGUGUUAGGAUGGAUAUGCACAUGUGUGUUCAAUACCCGUGGAGGCCAGAAGAAGCUACAAGGUGCCCUGGACCCAGUUACAGGCAGCCGUGACGCACCAAGUGGGUUUUAAGAAUAGCAUGUGGGCCGUCGGCAGGAGCAGAACUUACCUCAGCCACCGAGCGUGCAUGUCUCCAGACCUUUACUCUCUUCCUGUUUAACAUGUGGCUCUCAAAAUGAACUCUACCUUCAAGGAACUAGGACCUAGAUGAGGACAUUCAAAGUCUGGAGAAUGGCCUCUUUGUUUCCACCACAGCGAGGCCAGCUCCACCAACUAGCACCUGGCAAAGAGAGCUAGAGGACUACCCAGGCCUCCCUCCUUUUGAGAGGAUAAGGGGAAAAACACACAUCGGUGCUUCUGAGAGGCUCGACCAGGCACUUGGAGCUUUCGCUGUCUGUUAUUGCGCAGCUGCCAAUGAGGGCAGGAGCCACAUCUCAGUUUUACAGGUAAGGGGCGCAGGGUGGGCAGAGCUUUAAAGAUUGGCUCAAGAUCUCAGAGCUCAGAUGGACAGAGCUGAGGUUUAAGCCAGACAUGCCUGGCCCUGAUAGCCAUGCUAUCUCCGCCAGGCCUGUGCCACACCAGGCAGCCUGACAACAGUCUCUGGUCACAAGGGCAGGAGGCUCCUUCAUGGGGACUAUAGAUCCGUAAGCACUGGCGGUGAGGAAUGGAAGAAAUGACACCAGGUCCUAAGGUGCAAUAAGGAACAGCAGGAACUCAAAGCAUCCCUGGGACAAGUUCCUUAAGCCUUAGAUUUCAUGGUCUGGUAAACAGGAGUGAACUAACAUCUAACUCUAGGAUAGAAUGCAAGGGGCGAUGUUAAGUUAAAUGGGUAUGCAAAUGUUAUGACUGCCAGUAUGCAAGGGGCUGUCAACUCAGGACAUGCUCCUGGGCUGGGCUGGGCUGGGCUGGGCUGGGCUGUCCUUGCAACCAGGCUGUGGGGCAUGAGGAUGUGGCAGUUAGGAUGGGGGUGGGCGGGCAGGACACGGAGUGGUGUGACUCUGCACAUGGCACAUGCUGUUUACUCCCUCUCCUCUCUUGACUGCUGUCCCUCCUGCUCCUUUCACAUCAUGACACGCUGGCCAGGGUCCCACACAGCUCUCUACCCUGGCGCUGUCCCCUCUCUCUGUGCUGUUUGUCUUCAGAGCCACAGCACUCCACUUUCAGGGCACACACACACAGGAGGCACGAGAUUGUUAUCUGCUGGAGGUUCUGGCCAUGAA